rnacentral:siRNA from 1 species
CAUCUUGGUAUGCACUGUCCUC